rnacentral:snRNA from 1 species
GUGCUGGCUAUGGCAGUACAUGUACUAAAAUUGGAAUGAUACAGAAGAUUAGCAUGGCCCCGGUGCAAGGAUGAUACACAAAUUCAUGAAAUGUUCCAUAUUUUU